rnacentral:rRNA from 1 species
UACGUAGGGCGCGAGCGUUGUCCGGAAUUAUUGGGCGUAAAGGGCUCGUAGGCGGUCUGUCGCGUCGGGAGUGAAAACUCAGGGCUUAACCCUGAGCCUGCUUCCGAUACGGGCAGACUAGAGGUAUGCAGGGGAGAACGGAAUUCCUGGUGUAGCGGUGGAAUGCGCAGAUAUCAGGAAGAACACCGGUGGCGAAGGCGGCUAUCUGGACCGACAUUGACGCUGAGGCGCGAAAGCGUGGGGAGCAAACAGG